GAUGAACGCUGGCGGCGUGCUUAACACAUGCAAGUCGAACGAGAAGUGAAGACGGAAACCUUCGGGCGGAAGGCUUUAUUUCGAGUGGCGGACGGGUGAGUAACGCGUGGGUAACCUGCCUCAUACAGGGGGAUAACAGUUGGAAACGACUGUUAAUACCGCAUAAGACCACAGCACCGCAUGGUGCGGGGGUAAAAACUCCGGUGGUAUGAGAUGGACCCGCGUUCGAUUAGCCAGUUGGCGGGGUAACGGCCCACCUAAGCGACGAUCGAUAGCCGAUCUGAGAGGAUGACCGGCCACAUUGGGACUGAGACACGGCCCAAACUCCUACGGGAGGCAGCAGUGGGGAAUAUUGCACAAUGGGGGAAACCCUGAUGCAGCGACGCCGCGUGAGUGAAGAAGUAUUUCGGUAUGUAAAGCUCUAUCAGCAGGGAAGAAAAUGACGGUACCUGAGUAAGAAGCCCCGGCUAACUACGUG
rnacentral:rRNA from 1 species